rnacentral:tRNA from 1 species
GGGGAGAUACCCAAGCGGCCAACGGGGGCAGACUGUAAAUCUGUUGUUUUUAACUUCCAAGGUUCGAAUCCUUGUCUCCCCA